AUACGUAGGGGGCAAGCGUUGUCCGGAAUGACUGGGCGUAAAGGGCGUGUAGGCGGCCGAUUAAGUCUGGAGUGAAAGUCCUGCUUUCAAGGUGGGAAUUGCUUCGGAUACUGGUUGGCUUGAGUGCGGAAGAGGUAAGUGGAAUUCCCAGUGUAGCGGUGAAAUGCGUAGAGAUUGGGAGGAACACCAGUGGCGAAGGCGACUUACUGGACUGUAACUGACGCUGAGGCGCGAAAGUGUGGGGAGCAAACAGGAUUAGAUACCCUGGUAGUCCACACUGUAAACGAUGAAUGCUAGGUGUAGGGGGGUAUCGACCCCUUCUGUGCCGCAGUCAACACAAUAAGCAUUCCGCCUGGGGAGUAUGGCCGCAAGGUUGAAACUCAAAUGAAUUGGCGGGG
rnacentral:rRNA from 1 species